GAGCGAUUUCCGGCGAUGUCCCGUAGGUUCCCACCCUGUGCUUGCUAGGGUUUCCUUUCCUCCUCCCACCUCUUUCUUUAGUUUCAUUUCAUUUUUCUGUAAAAAUGGGUCUCGGUCCUGAAGAGGUAGGGUCAAGUCUGUCGGGGGAGGAGUUGGAGUUAAUCCGCUCCCGGUUUUUCUUCCAGCCCGGGUUUCGUCUCGAAACUGCGGGGCCGGAAGAUAGGGUGACGCGGCCGCCCCCAGGUCGGAUCGCGGUUCAUCGCGAGACGCUCUGGGCCGGCCUGCGGUUCCCUGUUCACGAGUUCGUGAACAACUUGCUGGUCGAGUACCAACUCGUCCCAGCGCAGCUUGCUCCGAACUCGUGGAGGACCAUAAUCGGGUUCUUGUCUUUGUG
rnacentral:lncRNA from 1 species